AUUGAACGCUGGCGGCAUGCUUUACACAUGCAAGUCGAACGGUAACAGGUUAAGCUGACGAGUGGCGAACGGGUGAGUAAUGCAUCGGAACGUGCCCGGUCGGGGGGGAUAACGCAGCGAAAGCCGCGCUAAUCCCGCAUACGAUCUGAGGAUGAAAGCGGGGGACCGUAAGGCCUCGCGCGAUCGGAGCGGCCGAUGUCAGAUGAGGUAGUUGGUGGGGGAAAGGCUCACCAAGCCAACGAUCUGUAGCUGGUCUGAGAGGACGACCAGCCACACUGGGACUGAGGGACGGCCCAGACUCCGACGGGAGGCAGCAGUGGGGAAUUUUGGACAAUGGGCGAAAGCCUGAUCCAGCAAUGUCGCGUGCAGGAAGAAGGCCUUCGGGUUGUAAACUGCUUUUGUACGGAGCGAAAAGGUCUCCUCUAAUACAGGGGGCUCAUGACGGUACCGUAAGAAUAAGCACCGGCUAACUACGUGCCAGCAGCCGCGGUAA
rnacentral:rRNA from 1 species